CCCUAAGGAAAGGCACAGCUCCUACCCAGAAACAACAUCUGUGUUCAGCACUGCUGCCUGUCUUCUGGCAGAGCUGCAUGCAUGGGGUGUGAGUCAGGCUGCACAGUCUGCUGAGAGUGAGAAGAGGAGUCAGAUGUGUUGGUUCCCUCAUCUCAAAGGUGUUCCUUCGGCUGCUGAAGUUGGGAAGCCAUGACUGUACCAUCCUGGCAAUCACAUGGUUGAAAGCCAUCAGGAAGUGGUCAAAGGUCCUGGUGGCUACUGUGGGUAUGAGGUGUCUUGCACAUGAGGAGGAGGAAGAGGAGCAUAGUCAGAUAUGAUGCUGGAGCACAGAACUUGGGGCUAGACUGCAAACCAUCCAGCCUUGAAAUGAAUCUACAAGAGUGGAAAAUUCAAUUGUCCUGAAAGAAGCACAUUUUGGAAAAUUCCAGAUAUAUAAAAAAAAGAUUACCAAAGCUAUGUUUUCACUGAAAAUGACUGGUUAAUGAAUGACAAGCAGAAAGUUUGCCUCAGCUUCUCCUCAAGAGAAACAGACACUAGAAAACCCCAGAGAAACCCUACGUGAAGAGAAGCUGCUUCCAAAACUGAUGGAACAUGGACCCCUGGCAAGUUCCUGCCAGUCCCUGGGAACACAGGAGCCUGUCCAGUGCCAUAGGAGAACCAAACAUGGAACAAGUGCCACAAAAUUCAGGACAAAAACUAGUUUGUACAGCUCCACAAACUCCUUAGAUGUUUUAAAUAACUACUUAAACAAACAGCUUAGGGAUAUUUUACAAGACUAGGAGCCCAGGACACGAGGAACUCAAUGUGCUUUCUGCACCAAAAGCAAACAUAAAACAUUGGACUACUAAUUAAAAACAAUACAAACGACCUCGCCAUCAAACCCAACACAGACAACAACUUAGAAACGUUUGUUUGAACGCAAGGGCACACAAGUUCAAAAGCAAAACAAAACAAAAAACCAUACUAACAGCUUAAAUCACAUAUACACAUUAACCUUCACACAGUGAUGGCAGGUGACUUCAAUACCCCAGUCUCACAACAGACAUAUUGUCCAAACAAAAACUAAACAGAAAUGCUGGAGGUAACUGGCAUUAUAAUCCAAGGGACCAACAGAUACUUAACAAACUUUUUACCCAAAUACAAAAAGAAUAUGCCUCCUUCUCAGCAGCUCACAGGACUUUCUCCAAGAUUGACCACAAACUUGGAUACAGAGAAAGUUUCACCGGAUACAAGAAAACUGAAGUAACACCCUGUAUCCUAACUGACCACCACAGAUGGAUUAAAGCUUGAUAUCAACAACAAAAGAAAUAACAGAAAGCUUACAAACUCAUGGAAACUGAGCAAGUCACUGAGUGAAAAAAUAGAUCAAGAAUGAAGUUAAGCAAGAUUAUUCAAACUCUCUAGAAUUAAAUGAGAAUGAAAACACAACAUACCCAAACUUAUAGGACACGGUGAAGAUGGUUCUUUAAGAGGCAAGUUCAUAGCGCUAAGUGCCUACAUGGAAAGAUUGGAGAGAUCUCAUAUUAGUAAUUUAAUAGCACACUUCUAGAACAAAAAGAAGAAAUAACACCCAAAAGAAGAGAUAAUAAGAAAUAAUUAGCUUUCUGGUCUCUCAGGCCUGGUGCCCUGAGCAGAUCUUGGGCACAAACUCCUCAGCCAGUCCCACAACACCCAGAGGAAGCUCCACUCCCAGGCACUAU